GCGACGGAUAGCAACCACGUGAUCAGUAAAAAUUGUGUAUUUUCACGUGAAUUCAUUUUCCGGAAUUCCUUACUCCGUCAUAGAAUAGUCGAAAAACAAAAAGGGGUUCCGAAAGUGUUUUGUUGCUGUGACUGACUCGCCUAGAGAAAAUCAGCACAUACCACAUAAGUAUACGUUAAUAUCUGUAAUAAUGGUAAAUCAAAUGUUUCAUCUGUGUGAAACUUUUUGCCAAACGAAAUGUUAAACCAACCACCAAUCGAUGUACAUAGAUGCACUACGUAAACAAAGUUGUUGAUUGAUGCAUCGUAAUGUCCGAGUGCUGCAUGCUGCGAGAUUAAAUACUGUUUAUACAGUCAUUGAGAGGCUAAACAAAGUUUCUUGCAAGAAGAGGAAUUUGGUGGAUACAUUCAACUUGGACAACGAAAUCAUAGGUUCGUUUGGCAUCAGCCUGAGGACCAAUGGAGGUUGGAUAGGACCAGUGCAGGUUGAAGUGGGUUUUGAGUCAACAAGUUUAACAACAAGAGAGGUACUCCAUUUACAGUGAUGAUGACAUAUCCCCUGGACCCCCACAACUCCACAAAUUUAAAAAUGUUUGAUCAAGUUCCGAAGAUUAAAGAACUACUGCAACAUUUGGUACUUGGAUGAAAAACAUUGAUUUAUGAUCUCAGAGCAGUGGAUGUACAACAUACUUUAAACUAAAUUGUGAAUUUAAGGGAAAACAAGUACAUGUACUCGUGUAUUACAUGUACAUGCCUUUUGAAAGACAAUAAUAUUGCAUAGAUGUAAAGGAAAUUUCACUGUUGAUUAUUCUUUCUCAGAUAUAUUAGUAAAAAAUAUGUACAUGAUAGGAUACCAAUUUUAUAACUUCAAUCAAUUUUUUUGAAUUUUCCUUGUAAUUCAGAAUUUAGUUGAAACAUACAUCAUUGAUACAUUAAUGUACAUCAGAUUUUUAGAAAAGUUUAAUAAUGGAACUAAUUGGCAGUAUGUUGAAAAACUACCCCCACCCCCACCUCUAUAUCCACCAACGAGACGGAGAGUAUAUUUAAAGGCAAACACUUGCGUGCGGGUAUUGCUCCAAACUAUCUUAAAGACAUUUUUCUGGUAAAAGUUCAACACAAGCUUAAGAAACACGCUAAAUUACAAAAUACCAGCUCUUAUAAAUGAGUGGAAUUCCCCUCCUGUUGAAAUAAAAUAAAGUGGAUCUUAGGGGAUCUUUAUGAAUAGAUCUCAGAAAAAGAAACUUCACAUGUAACAACCAGUUGUAAUUUGAUGCUAGCACAAAGUAAUUGUCCGAUUGAUUCCCUUUUGAUUUGAACUGUCCACGCACCUAACAUCUUUAUCUUUUGCUGAAGGAAACUCGUCGCUUUGCUUAAUAUGUACACUAUCAAAUUCAAAGAUGCAGAAAAUCACUAGCUGAAGGAAUAUUAAUUGUUAUAAAGUAUUCCACAUAGACCUGAGCUAUCAUUGAUACUCUCAAAUGAAUUAACCUUGAAACAAAACAUUAUAACUAUCGCACUAAGACCAACGGAAAUUGAUAUCAAUAUGAAUUACUCUUAUUACAAAGAAUUUGAAAAUUAACAAAAUUAAGUUGGAACACGAAAUCGCCUCAUUCAAACAAUUUAAAAUUGCCCACGGAAAAUAGAUCUUUAUAGUUUCGAUAAUCAAUAUUUUUAUAGUAUUUUACAAGAAAAUGUACCGUAUAUUAUAUUCAGAGAAUAAAAUUUUAUACUCCGUGUAACACGGAGAGCUUGCAAAUGCCGACGCAGAAACCAAAGGCGCCGACUAUUAUGUAGGCCUACGCUUGGACUUUCGGUCCACGGUGUCCUGUGUUUUAGGGAAAUACGGGUAUGUGAUCCAUACUUUAUCUAAAUAUGAAUAAGUACUGAAAUGUACGAAAUGUACAUGUAACUGUUAUUUUCGUCAGCUCUAGAAAAUGUUCUUGAUUACAUUAAGAAAGUCUUCAUAUUUCACCCUUACAGUUUUUCAAUAAUCAAAUCCUCUAUGUACAAUUCUAAUACUUUUACUUUAAGUAUUCUUCUUUACUUACUCAGUUUCACCAACGAAACCUUGUUGAAUAUCGCAUUCAAUUGCUUAUCUAACCAGCUAAAAAUGUAACAUCAAUUUGGAUGAAUCAUCCAGUGUAUGUGCGGUAUUCUUGUUGAUAACAACGCCAUUAUCUUAUGAAUAUUUAUGAAUCGAGGAAUGUAACAUAUCAGUAAUUGGGGAUUAUCUUUGCGCAUAUAGCACAAAAUGUUAUUGAAAAGGCUUCAAAAACUGUUUACAAUCAUACACAUUUAAAUUUUAUAAUAAAAACAACUCAAAUUUCUUGAGUUUCUGCCUGUAAAUUUCCGCCGCUAGGAUCCCCGUGUAUAUACAGGAACGCCCAUUGUGCACAGCAGCAGCAUUUAAGACAGUGGCUAUAAAUAGCCACCGUCUAAAAAAAUAAAAGAAAAUAGAUGAAUGC